UGAGGAAUAUUGGUCAAUGGGCGAGAGCCUGAACCAGCCAAGUAGCGUGCAGGAAGACGGCCCUAUGGGUUGUAAACUGCUUUUAUGCGGGGAUAAAGUGAGGGACGUGUCCUUCAUUGCAGGUACCGCAUGAAUAAGGACCGGCUAAUUCCGUGCCAGCAGCCGCGGUAAUACGGAAGGUCCGGGCGUUAUCCGGAUUUAUUGGGUUUAAAGGGAGCGUAGGCCGUGGAUUAAGCAUGUUGUGAAAUGCAGGUGCUCAACGUCUGCACUGCAGCGCGAACUGGUUCACUUGAGUGUGCACAACGCAGGCGGAAUUCGUCGUGUAGCGGUGAAAUGCUUAGAUAUGACGAAGAACUCCGAUUGCGGAGGCAGCUUGCGGGAGCACAACUGACGCUGAAGCUCGAAAGUGCGGGUAUCGAACAGGAUUAGAUACCCUGGUAGUCCGCACGGUAAACGAUGGAUGCCCGUUGUCAGGCUGUUUCAGUCUGGUGACCAAGCGAAAGCAUUAAGCAUCCCACCUGGGGAGUACGCCGGCAACGGUG
rnacentral:rRNA from 1 species